rnacentral:rRNA from 1 species
GACGAACCGUGCGAACGUUAUUCGGAAUCACUGGGCUUAAAGCGCGUGUAGGCGGGGCGGCACGUCGGUCGCUGAAAUCCCCCGGCUUAACCGGGGAACGGGCGCCGAUACGACCGCCCUGGAGGGACGUAGGGGGGGCUGGAACUUCCGGUGGAGCGGUGAAAUGCGCAGAUAUCAGGAGGAACACCGGUGGCGAAGGCGGAUCUCUGGGCCUUACCUGACGCUCAGGCACGAAAGCUAGGGGAGCGAACAGG